GGGGCCGAAUGGUUUCGACCGGGCAGGGAAGGCCCGGCGUUGCAUGUCGUGGAGCAUCCAGACCACGUAAAAAGGAUGCAAACCUUUAACUGCCAACACGCAGUACGCUCUCGCAGCCUGAGAAGGUGCGAGCGGGACACGCCUGACGCCCGAUAGGGCGUGUUCCGACACAUCGGGCUAGUUUCAAGGGGUUGAUGGGCUCCCGCGAAGCGAAACUCCAGUCCGUCAUGGCCUCUGUUCAGGGUGUCGUCGCCCGGUGCACAUGGCCGAGAUCAAACCGACGAACAAGCAUGUAGACGCGUCGCGCUGACUGUCAUGGCACGGGGGUUCGAAUCCCCCCGGCUCCACUA
rnacentral:tmRNA from 1 species